AUAUGCAGGCACGCCACCCCACCUGCCACCCAAGCACCCACCCACCCACUUACGCACACACAGAGUGCUUCCCCUUGCGACAUCAAAAAGAAACUCUCAAUCAACGCUCCGCCAAGAAAUUCGUCGCACUCACUUGAGGAAAAGCGCUGAAAUACUUGUAUCGAAUGAGCGAAAGCUAAACAGAGAGAUAUAGAGAUAUAGAUAGGGAAGUAGGGAAGUCGGGGCACCGGGGGAACUCUCUUUGUGCCCGUGAGUGUGUGUUUUGUGUAGAUUUGCUGGCACUGUUGUUGCUAUGAAUUCUUAAAUACAUAAAUUAAUUCGCAUUUCGCGGCGAAAUGUUCUAGAGGGUGCGAGUGAUCGACAGGGAAAUACCUCUGGCGGUGGAAAAUAAUCUAUUCAUAAAACAUAGAUUUAACGCGGUGCGGAUGAGGAACUUGCUCAAUGUGCUUCAUUGUCAAUUAAAUCGAAUAUUUUACUGGAAUUUCGUAAACUACAGUUCCCUCAUAGCGUUUUACAAUGGAUUUCAUCAUGUAAAAGCAACCGCUUAAAGGAAGGACAAUAAAGGCCAAAACCAAAGGAACAACAACCCACGCUAUGACGUAGCCACAUUUAAGUGGUGUGACAUUUAAUUAGCCUCUUUGAAACGGGGAGGUAGUCGACUUGCAACGGCUGAUGUCACACACACGGAUAUAUAGAUACAUAUAUAUAUAUAUAUAUAUAUGAAGCACUCGCAAAGGGCGCGAGUUUCGACAAGGAGAACUAUUAAAAAUUAAUGACAAUGCAAAUAGGCGAACUAAACAAAGGUGGCACAGGAACACGGCCAAGACCCGAAUGCCAAGUAGGCCAAAAAGUUAACACAAGCGAUACAGUACGAAAACCUAACUGGGUUAAGAAGUUCGCACCCAGGCGAUACAGAAGAACUCAGAAUUUGUAAACAGGAAAGAAUACAAUUAAAUGUUGACGCAUCAAGGCAAACCAGCUUGUACAAGACAGCCGAAAAUUGGCACGAAUGCACGGCAAAAAAUAGUUAGACAUAUAGUUAGACAUAAUGCUACUGCCGGAUACAGCGCUUUUCCCUCUACUGAACCCUUUCAUUAUAAUGACAUAUGAAAUCAUUGAUCGAAUGCUUUUCUGUGUACCGAAUUCAGCUAAUAAGCCAUCAUCAUCAUCAGCAAAAUAGAAACACGCGGAACAGAGCAGAACAGACCAGACGACAUUCAAUUUAUUGACGGACAAAGUGGCUAUAGCGAAGGCGACAUUCUGGCGACGGACACAUCGGGAUGGAAAAAGCUCGAAAUUGAGGCGAGACAUCCGAAAUGGGGAAGCUCGCCGAACGAAACGAAUCAUUAAUCAAAUUGAAGGAGAGUCAAACCUUAAAACCGAUGAAGUGCACACAAAGUGCGAUAAAAACUUUCGAAAUUUCAAAACUGGCAAUUAGUCGAAGAGGGAAUUUUGAAAAUUUAAAAUGAUAAGUACUCUUGAUUCUAGCUGAUUUAUACAUUUUUGAAGGAGUAUUUGAAUACCAAACAAAUGAACGUACAAAGAAGAUUUAUAAAACUAUAAUCCACAGAUGGCUGGUAGUUAUUUUGUUAAAUAAAAUAUCAGAGGGCAGAAAUGCAAA